AUUAGACCGAGGCUUCGUCUACGAUUUGGUUCCUACCCCACCCAACGAUGCCGGAGAGCCAGCUUGUUCGCUUAUCGAGACUACUACCGCCACAUUCAAAGACGACAAGAAAAAGGGAUCCAAACCCAAAUCUCAGGCCGCCGAUUCUUCCACUUUGGCCAUCGAUAGAGAUUGGGUCGCCGAGCACGCCCGUCAGGUUUCGAGAAUGUUACUGGGUGGUAUGAAGGUGGUUGGC
rnacentral:misc_RNA from 1 species